CCAGACGGCCGGAUGGCCGCGCCCGGCCAACGGGGAAACCCGGCCGGGUGAGGAAAGUCCGGGCUCCACGGAAACACGGUGCCGGGUAACGCCCGGCGGGGGCGACCCCCGAGACAGCGCCACAGAAAGCAAACCGCCCGGCAUCGGGCCGGGCAAGGGUGAAAGGGUGCGGUAAGAGCGCACCGCGCGGCCGGUAACGGGCGCGGCACGGCAAGCCUCACCGGGAGCAAGACCGAAUAGGGACGGCGCGGACCGCCUCCGUUUACGGCAGGCGCGUCCAGGCGGGUUUCCGCGCCGCCGUCCGGGUGGGUCGCGCGAGGCAGCCGGCGACGGCUGUCCCAGAUGAAUGGCCAUCUCCCCGGCCUCCGGGGGACAGAACCCGGCUUACAGGCCGUCUGGCACC
rnacentral:RNase_P_RNA from 1 species